GAUGAACGCUGGCGGCGUGCCUAAUACAUGCAAGUCGAGCGAACAGACGAGGAGCUUGCUCCUCUGACGUUAGCGGCGGACGGGUGAGUAACACGUGGAUAACCUACCUAUAAGACUGGGAUAACUUCGGGAAACCGGAGCUAAUACCGGAUAAUAUAGUGAACCGCAUGGUUCAAUAGUGAAAGACGGUUUUGCUGUCACUUAUAGAUGGAUCCUCGCCGCAUUAGCUAGUUGGUAAGGUAACGGCUUACCAAGGCAACGAUGCGUAGCCGACCUGAGAGGGUGAUCGGCCACACUGGAACUGAGACACGGUCCAGACUCCUACGGGAGGCAGCAGUAGGGAAUCUUCCGCAAUGGGCGAAAGCCUGACGGAGCAACGCCGCGUGAGUGAUGAAGGUCUUCGGAUCGUAAAACUCUGUUAUUAGGGAAGAACAAAUGUGUAAGUAACUAUGCACGUCUUGACGGUACCUAAUCAGAAAGCCACGGCUAACUACGUG
rnacentral:rRNA from 1 species